CUGAGAGGCGCACCCGGGCGGCCAGCUGGGCUCGGAGUGCAGCGGGGUUAGGAUGGACGAGGACGUGUUGCACCCUGAAGAGCCUCAUCAUCGCCUGCUCUUGAGGUUCACAGAUGAUACCUUUGAUCCAGAACUUGCAGCAACAAUAGCACCGGAAGCAGUACUCAGAACAAGUCAUACCUAAUGCUGCAGGAAACAUUUCCAAACGUGUAUGAAGAUACAUAUUGGUGGCAGAGCUAAUUCAACAGAAGCAACUCCAUCUACCUUUUCAUGUUAUUUUGACACCAAAACAAAUCUUGAAAGUGAAUGAAUACAUAUUGCUUUGUUAAAUACAUAUUUGACUUAUAUGGUGUUUAUAUAAAUAUAUAUAUAUUUUAGAAUCCACAAACUAUCAAAAUAACACUUUAUAAAGAGAACUGCUUCAAAAAAAAAAAAAAAAGGCAUUGCCUAGCUGGAACAAGAAGGCAGUGCUAUCUAUAGCAGCUGCGGCUUAAGUGCACAUAACAGAUACUUUUAUUAAUUCUGAUAACCUCCUGAAUGGUGGAAAGAAGUUUCCAAACAGUUCCCUUGAACAUUUACAAAAUACACAACUCCGGGACAAGCAGUAUCUUUAACAAUGUCAGGUUCUGAAAACUCUGAUUGAAAAAUACUUUGUGAAAAACACCAGUCCAAAAAUAUAUAUCCAUUUCCCUGGUGCAGUGGUGUUGUUGGACGUGACCGUGAGGCUCCUCUGGCGUCUCCCCACUCAGAACAGGCCUUUUGCUUUCUUCAGGUUCACCUGCUUCCAGGCGGGCAGGGCGUUGUAUUCAUCCCUCGUCAUGUCUAGUGCAAACUGGAAACAUUGGGAGAAGCGCCCCGCGGCUCAGUGAAAGGAGCCGGGCGUGCGUGUGUUGUUUUACUCCCAUCCCCACCCCACCGGAAGAACCGCUUACCUCGAAGUCUUCGUCGGUGAGAUAGAUCUCAAGCUUCAGAGGAUCGACCCCCUCCGGGAGUGGCCUGGCCAGGAGGUCGGCCAGCGGGUAAAUGGUUUUACAGAGCUUGGCUAAGACGUCUUCCACGAGGGUGAUCUGAUUGGAAACUUCCGUGUCCUAGAGAAGAGGAGGGGGCAGAGAGGAGAGCUCGUGUCCUACAUUUGAACUUGUUUUAUUAAGUGCUUACAGACACACAGCCCUGUGCCACCUGCAUACUGCCUGAGGAUGCAUAGUUCCAUAUCACUGAGGAGGAAAUGGCUCUGAAAGAAAAGGGAUC
rnacentral:lncRNA from 1 species